UUUCACCUCGGAUUUGAAUCCUCAAGGAUAUUGAUCAUUGGAUUACAGCAAUAUGUUGAAGGACAAGUUGAAUUCUUUUUCCUCCUUCUUGCAUGCCGAUUGCCGGGAUCAAAAUGUGGCGGAAAUGAACAAGGAUUAUGAUAGAAUUCAUUCCACGUGCAAGCCACGUGCUCCACUCUCCAGGCCCUCCCUCCCGCAUCCCAUUGGCCAUUGCCCCAUUGCCCUCAGGCGAGGCGGGAGAGCCUAUCCCUGCAUUCUCGGUGAGCGCCUGACAUCUCUUUUCUUUCAACGGACUGCACUCAUGCUCAUGCAAGUUUUUUGGACUUGGCUUCUCCGUUUCUUUUCCCACCCACACGACAAACACUGCCCCUCAGUUUAUUUGCUUCUCAAUUCUUCUUAGAAAGGGAAUAAAAAACGUUCCUUUUCUAUUGACUGCUUCUCGCUUUCAUCCUAGAGGGCAAAAACACGGUGGCUUUAGUUGCCAAACUCAACAGCAAGGUGGUAUUGGAAUCACUGUCAGUGUGAUAGCAUGCAGCAUAACUACUGCCAUUCAACACUGCAAGAAAUUGCGCUAUCAUUACUGAACAACAUGGGUUAUGGAACCAUCUAAAAGCUCGUUUUCCAUGCCACAGUCACCUUCAGUGCUUCUAUAAAUGGCAUGCUGUCGGUACUUGUCUGUUCAUUUUCAUUCCUUCUGGAGGGGCAUUACAUGCUUUGAAAGAAACUUUUCGAGCAAUGAAAGGAACUGCUUUUACCGUCUUAAAAGACCAAAGCUGCUUCAUUCCUCAUUCAAUUUAACCUUGAAGAAAUAUUCUAGUGCAUUGAAUAAUGCAAGUUCAGAUUCACUUGGAGUUGCUCCCGCAACUUGUCAGAGUAAUGUGACGCUGCCUUCAGAAAGUAGAUAUGAGCCAGUUCAAGUUUUGCAGCUUGGUGCAGCUAACACUGGAGAAAGAGCAGCAAACACUGAUCCAAUGAAUGGUAGAGUUAUGCUCAUUGAUGGCACAUCAAUAAUAUAUAGGGCUUACUUCAAGCUUUUAGCAAAGUUGCACCAUGGUCAUCUGACAAAUGCUGAUGGAAAUGGAGAUUGGGUUUUGACAAUAUUUACAGCUCUAUCACUUAUAAUUGAUGUUCUGGAAUUCAUUCCUUCCCAUGUGGCGGUGGUAUUUGACCACGACGGAAUUCCUUUUGUUCAUAACUGUAGUUCAUCAAAAGAAAGAUUUUCUGCAAAAGGCCUAAACUUUCGGCAUACUCUAUACCCCUCAUACAAGAGCAACCGUCCCCCAACACCUGAUACCAUUGUUCAGGGACUUCAAUACCUUAAAGCAUCCAUCAAAGCCAUGUCCAUAAAAGUCAUUGAGGUACCAGGUGUAGAAGCGGAUGACGUGAUUGGAACAUUAGCUUUAAGGAGUGUUGAUGCUGGGUACAAGGUACGGGUUGUCUCCCCAGAUAAAGACUUCUUCCAGAUUUUGUCUCCAUCACUACGUCUCCUUAGAAUUGCGCCACGUGGUGAUCAGAUAGUUUCCUUUGGAGUUGAGGAAUUCACAAAACGAUAUGGAGCUCUCAAGCCUUCUCAGUUUGCUGACAUGAUCGCACUUUCUGGUGACAGAUCGGACAAUAUACCAGGGGUUGAUGGAAUUGGAGAUAUACAUGCAGCGAAAUUGAUCAGUAAAUUUGGUACAUUGGAGAGGUUGUUGGGAUGUGUUGAUCAAAUAACUGAGGGGCGCAUUAAAGAGGCCUUGAUUGCAAAUGCUGAUCAGGCUCUCUUAAGCAAGGAACUGAUGUGUGCAGGCAUUACUUCGUUCUGAUCUUCCAUUCUAUAUGGUACCAUUUACAACAAGUGAUCUCUCAUUUAAGAAACCGGAGGACAACGGCGAUAGAUUGAAGGGCCUUUUAACAGCUAUCAGCGCUUAUGCCGAAGGCUUUUCAGCUGAUCCUAUCAUCAGGAGAACAUUUCAUUUGUGGAGAAAGUUGGAUUCAAGGUGAAAUUCAUUAACUAUGAAGGAAUUUUUCCAACAUUCCAUUUCUGCAACACCAUGAGGGCUAACCUCUGUCUAUUUGUUCAUGCACAUAUAAGCAACGCACCAUGAGGUUUUCUGGUGUGGAGAUCAACAUGCUAAUUGUUUCUAUUCCCCAGUGUAAAGCAGGAUUCCAUUUUGUUUGUCAAGUUUGUUUUGCCUGAAUUAUACCCUCUGUACCGUGGCCUGGCUAAGAGAAGUAUUAUGA